UGUCCAGCAACUUCUAUCCCUACCUCCUCGCGGUACCGGUCGGAAACUAUGAGCAACCUUAGGGAAGAUCGGGUAACCAACCCCGGUGAGAACUUUGGUCGUAGGCUGACAGGGAAGG
rnacentral:ribozyme from 1 species